GUCAGUUCGUACUGUGAAGCAUCCUGUUAAGUCAGGCAACGAGCGAGACCCACGCCCACAGUUGCCAGCGUACUCUCUGGAGUGACGGGUACACUGUGGGGACCGCCGCUGCUAAAGCGGAGGAAGGAAUGGGGCAACGGUAGGUCAGUAUGCCCCGAAUAUCCCGGGCUACACGCGAGCUACAAUGGUUGGUACAAUGGGUAUCUACCCGAAAGGGGACGGGAAUCUCCUAAAACCAAUCUUAGUUCGGAUUGAGGGCUGCAACUCGCCCUCAUGAAGCUGGAAUCCGUAGUAAUCGCGUUUCAACAGAACGCGGUGAAUACGUCCCUGCUCCUU
rnacentral:rRNA from 1 species